UACGGAGGGGGCGAGCGUUGUCCGAAGUUACUGGGCGUAAAGCGCGCGUAGGCGGGUUGGUAAGUCCGCUGUGAAAGCCCGGAGCUUAACUCCGGAGGGUCGGUGGAUACUGCCAGUCUUGAAGGUGCUAGGGGGAGAUGGAAUUACCGGUGUAGCGGUGAAAUGCGUAGAUAUCGGUAGGAACACCAGUGGCGAAGGCGGUCUCCUGGGGCAGUCUUGACGCUGAGGCGCGAAAGCGGGGGGAGCAAACGGG
rnacentral:rRNA from 1 species